CAUAUGGAGCAUCAUCUGUGCAUAGUUUUCUGACGUCAGCAGCUACGAAAUUGUGGUUAAUUUGCAAAUCACUGAAAAGUGGGAAGAUAAUAUCCCACUGCCCAUUUAGCGACACUGGAUUUCGACCGAUUCAAUGUAGCUCUCAUUUCAAUUGCAAAUUGCAAAUAGAAGAUUCAUCAUCUCAAGACGUUUGAGGUUCCAUUCUUGAAACAUGAAUGAACAAAGCCUGCAUUGGAGUAAUUCCAACAUUGAAUUGUGAGAUAAAGAUUGGACUUCAACUACAGUAAC